GGAUGUGAGGUUGAUCUGACUGCGACAUCUGUCACCCCUUCGAUCACCAGGGUUGAUUCGGCUGCACUGGUUGGCUAUGAUGUCAUCCCCUCCCUCUCUCUCACCACACCAUGCAAGGUUCUCCUGAAGCUGUGUCCUCCAUGUCUGAGGAGGCCUUUCUUGAACAGAGACAGACCGUUCUUCAGUCAAGGGUUGAUCAGAUCUGUGCUUCCCCAUUAGAACCUCCAAACAAGCUCUCAAAUGAAAUACCUGCAGAAGUCAAUUUACCAGCUUGACUUUUCCAUUUCUUUCCAAAGUGCAAUCAGUUAAG
ensembl:misc_RNA 7SK 7SK RNA